rnacentral:rRNA from 1 species
UACGUAGGGUGCAAGCGUUAUUCGGAAUUACUGGGCGUAAAGCGUGCGCAGGUGGUUAUGUAAGCCAGAUGUGAAAUCCCCGGGCUUAACCUGGGAAUGGCAUUUGGGACUGCAUGGCUAGAGUGUGGCAGAGGGGGGUGGAAUUCCGCGUGUAGCAGUGAAAUGCGUAGAGAUGCGGAGGAACACCGAUGGCGAAGGCAGCCCCCUGGGUUAACACUGACACUCAUGCACGAAAGCGUGGGGAGCAAACAGG